UACGUAGGGGGCAAGCGUUGUCCGGAUUUAUUGGGCGUAAAGAGCGUGUAGGCGGCCUGAAAGGUCAGCUGUGAAACUCGAGGCUCAACCUCGAGACGUCGGUUGAAACCAUCUGGCUAGAGUCCGGAAGAGGAGAGUGGAAUUCCCGGUGUAGCGGUGAAAUGCGCAGAUAUCGGGAAGAACACCCGUGGCGAAGGCGGCUCUCUGGGACGGUACUGACGCUGAGACGCGGAAAAGCG
rnacentral:rRNA from 1 species